UACGUAGGGGGCUAGCGUUGUCCGGAAUCAUUGGGCGUAAAGCGCACGUAGGUGGAUACCUAAGUCAGAUGUGAAAAGUCCUGGGCUUAACCUGGGAAUUGCACCUGAUACUGGGUAUCUUGAGUAUGGUAGAGGGAAGUGGAAUUUCCGGUGUAGCGGUGAAAUGCGUAGAUAUCGGAAGGAACACCAGUGGCGAAGGCGGCUUCCUGGACCAAUACUGACACUGAGGUGCGAAAGCGUGGGGAGCAAACAGG
rnacentral:rRNA from 1 species